AUUGAACGCUGGCGGCAGGCCUAACACAUGCAAGUCGAACGGUAACAGGAAGAAGCUUGCUUCUUUGCUGACGAGUGGCGGACGGGUGAGUAAUGUCUGGGAAACUGCCUGAUGGAGGGGGAUAACUACUGGAAACGGUAGCUAAUACCGCAUAACGUCGCAAGACCAAAGAGGGGGACCUUCGGGCCUCUUGCCAUCGGAUGUGCCCAGAUGGGAUUAGCUAGUAGGUGGGGUAACGGCUCACCUAGGCGACGAUCCCUAGCUGGUCUGAGAGGAUGACCAGCCACACUGGAACUGAGACACGGUCCAGACUCCUACGGGAGGCAGCUGUGGGGAAUAUUGCACAAUGGGCGCAAGCCUGAUGCAGCCAUGCCGCGUGUAUGAAGAAGGCCUUCGGGUUGUAAAGUACUUUCAGCGGGGAGGAAGGGAGUAAAGUUAAUACCUUUGCUCAUUGACGUUACCCGCAGAAGAAGCACCGGCUAACUCCGUG
rnacentral:rRNA from 1 species